rnacentral:rRNA from 1 species
CAGUCGCCGCGGUAAUACGUAGGUGGCAAGCGUUGUCCGGAAUUAUUGGGCGUAAAGGGCUCGCAGGCGGUUUCUUAAGUCUGAUGUGAAAGCCCCCGGCUCAACCGGGGAGGGUCAUUGGAAACUGGGAAACUUGAGUGCAGAAGAGGAGAGUGGGAUUCCACGUGUAGCGGUGAAAUGCGUAGAGAUGUGGAGGAACACCAGUGGCGAAGGCGACUCUCUGGUCUGUAACUGACGCUGAGGAGCGAAAGCGUGGGGAGCGAACAGGAUUAGAUACCCCGGUAGUCCCUGUCUCUUAUAC